UACGUAGGGUGCGAGCGUUAAUCGGAAUUACUGGGCGUAAAGCGUGCGCAGGCGGUGGCUCAAGCCAGGCGUGAAAUCCCCGGGCUUAACCUGGGAAUGGCGUUUGGGACUGGGUCGCGAGAGUGUGGCAGAGGGAGGUGGAAUUCCACGUGUAGCAGUGAAAUGCGGUAGAGAUGUGGAGGAACACCGAUGGCGAAGGCAG
rnacentral:rRNA from 1 species